GACGGGGGAUGCAAGCGUUAUCCGGAAUCACUGGGCGUAAAGCGUCUGUAGGUGGUGAUGCAAGUCACUGGUGCAAAACUCUGGCUCAACCGGAGGAAAGCCAGUGAAACUGCAUGACUAGAGUGUGGGAGAGGUAGAAGGAAUUCCCUGAGUAGCGGUGAAAUGCGUAGAUACAGGGAAGAACACCGGAGGCGAAAGCGUUCUACUGGAACACAACUGACACUGAGAGGCGAAAACUUGGGGAGCGAAUGGG
rnacentral:rRNA from 1 species